rnacentral:rRNA from 1 species
AUUGAACGCUGGCGGCAUGCCUUACACAUGCAAGUCGAACGGUAGCGGGCCUUCGGGUGCCGACGAGUGGCGAACGGGUGAGUAAUGUAUCGGAACGUACCUUUCAGUGGGGGAUAACGUAGCGAAAGUUACGCUAAUACCGCAUAUUCUGUGCGCAGGAAAGCAGGGGAUCGCAAGACCUUGCGCUGAUUGAGCGGCCGAUAUCAGAUUAGCUAGUUGGUGAGGUAAAGGCUCACCAAGGCGACGAUCUGUAGCGGGUCUGAGAGGAUGAGCCGCCACACUGGAACUGGGACACGGUCCAGACUCCUACGGGAGGCAGCAGUGGGGAAUUUUGGACAAUGGGGGCAACCCUGAUCCAGCCAUGCCGCGUGAGUGAAGAAGGCCUUCGGGUUGUAAAGCUCUUUCGGCCGGGAAGAAAUCGUAUCAGCUAAUACCUGGUGCGGAUGACGGUACCGGCAUAAGAAGCACCGGCUAACUACGUGCCAGCCGCCGCGGUAAUAC